GGUCCUCCAUAUAGACUUCUUCACAGUGCACAAUCGCCAAAAAGUGCUCAAAAUCUAGUUUAAAUAUAUGGAUCUGGAAUCAAUAGAUUAUUCGAUAUUAAACAAGAAAAAGUAACUGAAAAAUGGACCGAAAUAUGUUCAUGCGUCAGAGUAUUAGAUUUGAUGACAGAAAGUGGUCACAAUCUGAGAAAUAAAAGUAUAUGGGUAAGGUUGGAAUGAUGACACAAUCCUAUUAAGAAAGACAAUUAUAUGGGUAGGAUCGGAAUAAUGGCACGACCCUACUGAGAAAGAAAAUUAUGUGUAGGGUUGGAAUGAUGGCACGAACCUACUGAAAAAUAAAAAUUAUUAGAGUCGGAUUAACGACAUAAAGAGAAAUUAUAUGAGUAGGAUCGAAAUGAUGACACGACCUACCCAAAUAAGAAAGUAGUCACCGGAAAAAUGAUACUACGCAAAUUAGAUAUAAAAAGGUAGUCACCAAAAAGAUGGCAUGGUGCUACACAAAUUGGAUAUGAAGUAGUCACCGGAAUGAUGGCACGAUGCUACACAAAUUAAAUAUGAGAAAAUAGUCACCGAAAUGAUGGCACUGUGCUACACAAAUUAGAUAUAAGAAAAUAGUCAUAUGAAAGAUAUACGGUGACCCAACUUUUGCUAACAUAAUCAUUGGCCAGACGGUAUAUAUGGGUAAUAGCCACCCGCCGACAGUGAAAGCUCAUUGAUUUUCUACCAAGAUCGUAGAGGCUCCGAUAUCAUGUGAAAAAUAUUGGAGAAGAAUAUUAUUGAAUUGUGCAUCUACAUUAUUAGAUAUAGAGACCCUAUUAUAGACACUACAAUACAAUCCUUGACCAAGUAGGAAACUAUAUACUAUUCCUAUUCCUAUUUUAAGUCGAAUUGUAUAUAAGUAUUCAUAUUCUAACCGAAGCAUUUGGACAAAG
rnacentral:lncRNA from 1 species